AAUGAACGUUGGCGGCGUGGAUUAGGCAUGCAAGUCGUGCGGAAAGGCUCCUUCGGGAGUACUCGAGCGGCGAAAGGGAGAGUAACGCGUGGAUAUCUACCCCCUGGACUGGGAUAGCGGCGGGAAACUGCCGGUAAUACCAGAUAAUGUCUGCGGACCAAAGGUGGGAUUCCGCCGGGGGAUGAGUCCGCGUCCUAUUAGCUUGUUGGUGGGGUAAUGGCUCACCAAGGCUAAGAUGGGUACCGGGUGUGAGAGCAUGGCCCGGCUCACUGGGACUGAGACACUGCCCAGACACCUACGGGUGGCCGCAGUCGAGAAUCUUCGGCAAUGAGCGAAAGCUUGACCGAGCGAUGCCGCGUGCGGGAUGAAGGCCCUCGGGUUGUAAACCGCUGUCGUAGGGGAGGAAGGCUUCGUGAAGAGCGAGGUUUGACCUAUCCUAGGAGGAAGUACGGGCUAAGUACGUGCCAGCAGCCGCGGUAAUAC
rnacentral:rRNA from 1 species